GACGAACGCUGGCGGCGUGCUUAACACAUGCAAGUCGAACGGAAAGGCCCUUCGGGGUACUCGAGUGGCGAACGGGUGAGUAACACGUGGGUGAUCUGCCCUGCACUUUGGGAUAAGCCUGGGAAACUGGGUCUAAUACCGAAUAGGACCACGCGCUUCAUGGUGUGUGGUGGAAAGCUUUUGCGGUGUGGGAUGGGCCCGCGGCCUAUCAGCUUGUUGGUGGGGUAAUGGCCUACCAAGGCGACGACGGGUAGCCGGCCUGAGAGGGUGACCGGCCACACUGGGACUGAGAUACGGCCCAGACUCCUACGGGAGGCAGCAGUGGGGAAUAUUGCACAAUGGGCGCAAGCCUGAUGCAGCGACGCCGCGUGAGGGAUGACGGCCUUCGGGUUGUAAACCUCUUUCAAUAGGGACGAAGCGCAAGUGACGGUACCUAUAGAAGAAGCACCGGCCAACUACGUGCCAGCAGCCGCGGUAAUACGUAGGGUGCGAGCGUUGUCCGGAAUUACUGGGCGUAAAGAGCUCGUAGGUGGUUUGUCGCGUUGUUCGUGAAAACUCACAGCUUAACUGUGGGCGUGCGGGCGAUACGGGCAGACUAGAGUACUGCAGGGGAGACUGGAAUUCCUGGUGUAGCGGUGGAAUGCGCAGAUAUCAGGAGGAACACCGGUGGCGAAGGCGGGUCUCUGGGCAGUAACUGACGCUGAGGAGCGAAAGCGUGGGGAGCGAACAGGAUUAGAUACCCUGGUAGUCCACGCCGUAAACGGUGGGUACUAGGUGUGGGUUCCUUCCUUGGGAUCCGUGCCGUAGCUAACGCAUUAAGUACCCCGCCUGGGGAGUACGGCCGCAAGGCUAAAACUCAAAGGAAUUGACGGGGGCCCGCACAAGCGGCGGAGCAUGUGGAUUAAUUCGAUGCAACGCGAAGAACCUUACCUGGGUUUGACAUGCACAGGACGCCGGCAGAGAUGUCGGUUCCCUUGUGGCCUGUGUGCAGGUGGUGCAUGGCUGUCGUCAGCUCGUGUCGUGAGAUGUUGGGUUAAGUCCCGCAACGAGCGCAACCCUUGUCCUAUGUUGCCAGCGGGUUAUGCCGGGGACUCGUAGGAGACUGCCGGGGUCAACUCGGAGGAAGGUGGGGAUGACGUCAAGUCAUCAUGCCCCUUAUGUCCAGGGCUUCACACAUGCUACAAUGGCCGGUACAAAGGGCUGCGAUGCCGUGAGGUGGAGCGAAUCCUUUCAAAGCCGGUCUCAGUUCGGAUCGGGGUCUGCAACUCGACCCCGUGAAGUCGGAGUCGCUAGUAGUCGCAGAUCAGCAACGCUGCGGUGAAUACGUUCCCGGGCCU
rnacentral:rRNA from 1 species